rnacentral:misc_RNA from 1 species
GAUGAAGAACGCAGUGAAAUGCGAUAAGUAAUGCGAAUUGCAGAAUUCAGUGAAUCAUCGAAUCUUUGAACGCACAUUGCGCCCGCCAGUAUUCUGGCGGGCAUGCCUGUCUGAGCGUCGUUUCGACCCUCGCGCCCGGCUUCUGUCGGGGGCGGUGUUGGGGAUCGGCCACACCCUUCAGUGGGAGGCCGGCCCCUAAAUUCAGUGGCGACCACGCUGUAGCCUCCCCUGCGUAGUACUAAAACCACCUCGCAGGCGGAGAGCGGUGCGGCCCGCCGUAAAACCCCCCAACUUUUACAAGGUCGACCUCAGAUCAGGUAGGAAUACCCGCUGAACUUAAGCAUAUCAAUAGCGGAGGA